rnacentral:tRNA from 1 species
GCGUCUGUAGCCUAGUUGGUAAAGGAAGUCUCAAGCUCAUAGCUGCAACAUAGCUGAGGUCGUGAGUUCGACUCUCACCAGACACA